rnacentral:sRNA from 1 species
AGCUUAGACAGAAUGCCAACAGCUUCUAUUUUCACUAUUGGUUAUAGGUCUAUUUACUUGUUUUUCCUGAUCUUGAUUUAUCUUUGGAAUUCAUUCCCUAUGACACAAUGAGUCUCUGACUUCUACUGGGACAAGACCUGUAAUCGGCACUUGAGAAUUCACUAGCUCUAACUCAUUGACAUGGAGGCAACACUAAAUUGUACAGCAUAGUGUAUGUUGGAAUGCAUGACUUCAUAUGUGGAGGGCCGUCCUCACAUUC